rnacentral:rRNA from 1 species
GGAGCCUACGGGGGGCAGCAGUGGGGGAUAUUGCACAAUGGGGGAAACCCUGAUGCAGCGACGCCGCGUGGGCGAAGAAGUAUUUCGGUAUGUAAAGCCCUAUCAGCAGGGAAGAAAAAAGACAGUACCUGUAGAAUAAGCUCCGGCUAACUACGUGCCAGCAGCCGCGGUAAUACGUAGGGAGCAAGCGUUAUCCGGAAUUAUUGGGUGUAAAGGGUGCGUAGACGGGACAGCAAGUUAGUUGUGAAAGCCCUCGGCUUAACUGAGGAACUGCAACUAAAACUAUUGUUCUUGAGUGCAGGUGA